rnacentral:tRNA from 1 species
CAAAUCAUGCUAAGGGCUAUUUGUUGUUUACAUUAACAUUAUAUUUGUGCGAUUCAAAUUGAUUUGA